rnacentral:rRNA from 1 species
UGGGAACGCGAAGAACCUUACCAAGAUUUGACAUGGGAACUAAAGCCCUAGAAAUAGGGUCAUAUCAGGUCUACACAGGUGGUGCAUGGUUGUCGUCAGCUCGUGUCGUGAGAUGUUGGGUUAAGUCCCGCAACGAGCGCAACCCUUGUCCUUAGUUGCCAUCAUUAAGCUGGGAACUCUAGGGAUACUGCCGAUGUAAGUCGGAGGAAGGUGGGGAUGACGUCAAAUCAUCAUGCCCUUUAUAUCUUGGGCGUCACACGUGCUACAAUGGCCGGUACAAAGAGAUGCAAAACCGCGAGGUCAAGCAAAUCUCAUAAAGCCGGUCUCAGUUCGGAUCGGAGUCUGCAACUCGACUCCGUGAAGCUGGAAUUGCUAGUAAUCGCAGAUCAGCCAUGCUGCGGUGAAUACGUUCCCGGGUCUUGUACACACCGGGUCUUGUACACACCGGGUCUUGUACACACCGG